UACGGAAGGCAGCAGUGGGGAAUAUUGCACAAUGGGCGAAAGCCUGAUGCAGCUAUGCCGCGUGUAUGAAGAAGGCCUUAGGGUUGUAAAGUACUUUCAGUCGUGAGGAAGGUGUUAAGGUUAAUAACCUUAGCAAUUGACGUUAGCGACAGAAGAAGCACCGGCUAACUCCGUGCCAGCAGCCGCGGUAAUACGGAGGGUGCGAGCGUUAAUCGGAAUUACUGGGCGUAAAGGGCACGCAGGCGGUUAAUUAAGUUGGAUGUGAAAUCCCCGGGCUUAACCUGGGAAUGGCAUUCAAGCUGGUUAGCUAGAGUCUUGUAGAGGGGGUAGAAUUCCAUGUGUAGCGGUGAAAUGCGUAGAGAUGUGGGGGAAUACCGGUGGCGAAGGCGGCCCCUGGACAAGACUGACGCUCAUGUGCGAAAGCGUGGGGAGCGAAACAGGGAUUAGAUACC
rnacentral:rRNA from 1 species